GCACGCGUGGCCUAAUGGAGAAGGCGCCGGACUCCGGAUCCGGAAAUGGGGGUUCGAGUCCCUCCGCGUGCU
rfam:Nippostrongylus brasiliensis genome assembly, scaffold: NBR_scaffold0004553